AUUGAACGCUGGCGGCAUGCCUUACACAUGCAAGUCGAACGGCAGCACGGGUGCUUGCACCUGGUGGCGAGUGGCGAACGGGUGAGUAAUACAUCGGAACGUACCUUAUCGUGGGGGAUAACGCAGCGAAAGUUGCGCUAAUACCGCAUACGCCCUGAGGGGGAAAGCGGGGGACCGUAAGGCCUCGCGCGAUUAGAGCGGCCGAUGUCUGAUUAGCUUGUUGGUGAGGUAAAAGCUCACCAAGGCGAUGAUCAGUAGCUGGUCUGAGAGGACGAUCAGCCACACUGGGACUGAGACACGGCCCAGACUCCUACGGGAGGCAGCAGUGGGGAAUUUUGGACAAUGGGGGCAACCCUGAUCCAGCAAUGCCGCGUGAGUGAAGAAGGCCUUCGGGUUGUAAAGCUCUUUUGUCAGGGAAGAGACAGCAGCUCUAACACAGUCUGCGAAUGACGGUACCUGAAGAAUAAGCACCGGCUAACUACGUGCCAGCCGCCGCAGUAA
rnacentral:rRNA from 1 species